rnacentral:rRNA from 1 species
GACGAACGCUGGCGGCGUGCCUAAUACAUGCAAGUAGAACGCUGAAGACUUUAGCUUGCUAAAGUUGGAAGAGUUGCGAACGGGUGAGUAACGCGUAGGUAACCUGCCUACUAGCGGGGGAUAACUAUUGGAAACGAUAGCUAAUACCGCAUAACAGCAUUUAACCCAUGUUAGAUGCUUGAAAGGAGCAAUUGCUUCACUAGUAGAUGGACCUGCGUUGUAUUAGCUAGUUGGUGAGGUAACGGCUCACCAAGGCGAUGAUGCAUAGCCGAGUUGAGAGACUGAUCGGCCACAAUGGGACUGAGACACGGCCCAUACUCCUACGGGAGGCAGCAGUAGGGAAUCUUCCACAAUGGGCGCAAGCCUGAUGGAGCAACGCCGCGUGAGUGAAGAAGGUUUUCGGAUCGUAAAGCUCUGUUGUAAGAGAAGAACGUGUGUGAGAGUGGAAAGUUCACACAGUGACGGUAACUUACCAGAAAGGGACGGCUAACUACGUGCCAGCAGCCGCGGUAAUACGUAGGUCCCGAGCGUUGUCCGGAUUUAUUGGGCGUAAAGCGAGCGCAGGCGGUUUAAUAAGUCUGAAGUUAAAGGCAGUGGCUUAACCAUUGUUCGCUUUGGAAACUGUUAGACUUGAGUGCAGAAGGGGAGAGUGGAAUUCCAUGUGUAGCGGUGAAAUGCGUAGAUAUAUGGAGGAACACCGGUGGCGAAAGCGGCUCUCUGGUCUGUAACUGACGCUGAGGCUCGAAAGCGUGGGGAGCAAACAGGAUUAGAUACCCUGGUAGUCCACGCCGUAAACGAUGAGUGCUAGGUGUUAGGCCCUUUCCGGGGCUUAGUGCCGCAGCUAACGCAUUAAGCACUCCGCCUGGGGAGUACGACCGCAAGGUUG